rnacentral:lncRNA from 1 species
GGUGGAUGCUGUGUGACCAGGUAAUGUACGACAUUCUUUUAUGGCUGACCACUGGGAAAGCAUCUCUGGAGAAGGAGCUGCUACACGCAGAGUGGUAAUUGUGAACAUCUACUUCUCCAUCAACUGGAAGAGCCACAGGCCGACCACUAAAUAGAACUAAUGAAUGUAUCCUUUCAAUAACAACUGAUACCAUGUAAUGCUUAUGCAAAAGAGGUAAGUGGUUUGAUGACAUGACUUCUGUUUUAACUGCUGGAAUACCACAAAAUCUCCGUAUGUAUAUGAUAGCACAACACCGUUUUUCAGUGUGACCCUCUGAUUUUGCUAAAAUGACCACAGCUUUGAAUGUUGCUUAGAAAAAUAAGUACCUCUUCAAAAAGGGAUGCAAAAGAAAAAAAAAAUAACCAACCCACCUUGAAACUUAACACAACAUUUCAAUGAAAAAGGAUGCUGAUCCCUGAUAAGGCAGGUUUGGGACAGUGGGUAAGGGAGAGAUAAAAAGCCAAGAAAAACCUGUAGCACUGAAUGGGUAAAACUAAGGUGGGGGAGGAUUAAGAUGGUAUAUUUCCCUCCCAGGCCAGGUUUUACUUCAUGGGAGAUUUAAAUGAGUGAUCUUCCACUGUGAUAUGUCAUCAUAAUCAAUAUUAAGGAAGCAACAAAGGUUGCUGCUGAGGAUGAGCGUCUCUCUCAUCUCCCCUCUUCCCUGAUGACAGGAUGAUGGGGAACCAGGGGGACUCGGAGACAACACCAGUCCUCAGCAGGCUCUUCCACUGGACAGCAGUAGGCGUUGAAGUGUAGAGUAGGCAUGAUACAGGGAGACCUAAAGUCCCUUUUCAAGAGGUGCUUCAAGCAAGGAAGACGGGCAGGUUCCUCACCUCAGCCCUGCUGCUGCCACAGAAGUUGCACAGAUGGAGUGAGCUCACCCGAUGGACAAUGUUUUCAUGCUGCACAUGUUCAGAGUU